CGCAAGGGGAGUGGCAGACGGGUGAGUAACGCGUGGGAACAUACCCUUUCCUGCGGAAUAGCUCCGGGAAACUGGAAUUAAUACCGCAUACGCCCUACGGGGGAAAGAUUUAUCGGGGAAGGAUUGGCCCGCGUUGGAUUAGCUAGUUGGUGGGGUAAAGGCCUACCAAGGCGACGAUCCAUAGCUGGUCUGAGAGGAUGAUCAGCCACAUUGGGACUGAGACACGGCCCAAACUCCUACGGGAGGCAGCAGUGGGGAAUAUUGGACAAUGGGCGCAAGCCUGAUCCAGCCAUGCCGCGUGAGUGAUGAAGGCCUUAGGGUUGUAAAGCUCUUUCACCGAUGAAGAUAAUGACGGUAGUCGGAGAAGAAGCCCCGGCUAACUUCGUGCCAGCAGCCGCGGUAAUACGAAGGGGGCUAGCGUUGUUCGGAAUUACUGGGCGUANAGCGCACGUAGGCGGAUAUUUAAGUCAGGGGUGAAAUCCCGCAGCUCAACUGCGGAACUGCCUUUGAUACUGGGUAUCUUGAGUAUGGAAGAGGUAAGUGGAAUUCCGAGUGUAGAGGUGAAAUUCGNAGAUAUUCGGAGGAACACCAGUGGCGAAGGCGGCUUACUGGUCCAUUACUGACGCUGAGGUGCGAAA
rnacentral:rRNA from 1 species